UGGACUGGUCUGUGACAUCAGUCAUUCCACUUCUCGCACCUUAUGUUCCAACCGCAACUGCAACCCUCUCUGCCGGCACACCGCCGGUGACGCAAUCGCACGCCGCACACGCCUAUAACCUUUUUCUUUCUUCUCUCACACUCUAAUGCGCUGACCUCCACCCGUUGCUUCCGUAUUUGUUACCGUCGGUGACUCCGCACUCGAUUCUUCUUAACUCUCCAUUUGCUCGUAUUUCAGUGGCAUGUCCGUUCCCUGAACGAGGAGUGUCGAUAAUUGAUUCGGAGGUUUCUGAUGGAGGCUACGGAUUGGGAAAGCUCUUCAGGAGGAGCUAGUGGUGAUGAUGACAAUUAUGAGCAAGACAUAAAAGAUGAAGAAGAAUGUCUCUGCGCAUCCGGGUACUUGCGCAAGUUGCAACUCAGGAAGCAUGCUUCAACUGCUCGAUGGAAUGAUCAGAUGGGAAUGGCAGAAGUUUUAGAGAUCAAGGGCAGUCUUUGGACGAUAACUGGCAUUGUACGUUGUGGCAAGAUUUAUUGUUCCAUUGAGGAAACUUUGUAGGUUAAACUAUGAUUUUGUUACGGUUUUGUUAUCCCUAUUGUUUUUGAUAUUGACCACAACAUUUUUUAGGGAGUUCUUCUCUUUAACAUCGUGUUAACUUAAUUUGAGUACUUUGAAAUAGUCGGGUAAUAUCAUGAAAAAAAGAAAAAUGGAAGUGUUCCAAGCCAAGGCGAGGAAAUAGCCCAUGAGGUGAGGAGAGCUGCAUUAGGUGCAUCUUGGCAAUUACCUUGGUCACCCCUUGGUCAGUUUUUAUUGCUUUUUGGUUGUCUUUGGUUCUGUAUUUAGAACAUUACAUUAUAAAUAAAGGGAAGGAGUUCAAACUUAAAAUA